AGAGUUUGAUCCUGGCUCAGAUUGAACGCUGGCGGCAGGCUUAACACAUGCAAGUCGAGCGGAGAGAGGUAGCUUGCUACUGAUCUUAGCGGCGGACGGGUGAGUAAUGCUUAGGAAUCUGCCUAUUAGUGGGGGACAACAUUUCGAAAGGAAUGCUAAUACCGCAUACGUCCUACGGGAGAAAGCAGGGGAUCUUCGGACCUUGCGCUAAUAGAUGAGCCUAAGUCGGAUUAGCUAGUUGGUGGGGUAAAGGCCUACCAAGGCGACGAUCUGUAGCGGGUCUGAGAGGAUGAUCCGCCACACUGGGACUGAGACACGGCCCAGACUCCUACGGGAGGCAACAGUGGGGAAUAUUGGACAAUGGGCGGAAGCCUGAUCCAGCCAUGCCGCGUGUGUGAAGAAGGCCUUAUGGUUGUAAAGCACUUUAAGCGAGGAGGAGGCUACUUUAGUUAAUACCUAGAGAUAGUGGACGUUACUCGCAGAAUAAGCACCGGCUAACUCUGUGCCAGCAGCCGCGGUAAUACAGAGGGUGCAAGCGUUAAUCGGAUUUACUGGGCGUAAAGCGCGCGUAGGCGGCUAAUUAAGUCAAAUGUGAAAUCCCCGAGCUUAACUUGGGAAUUGCAUUCGAUACUGGUUAGCUAGAGUGUGGGAGAGGA
rnacentral:rRNA from 1 species